rnacentral:tRNA from 1 species
CCUGGUGGCUCAGAGGGUAAAGCAUCUGCCUGCAAUGCAGGAGACCUGGGUUUGAUUCCUGGGUCAGGA